UAGUGAGUUUGAUCCUGGCUCAGAACGAACGUUCGCGGCGCGCUUAACACAUGCAAGUCGCACGAGAAAGGGCUUCGGCCCCGGUACAGUGGCGCACGGGUGAGUAACACGUAACUGACCUACCCCGUAGUCCCGCACAACGGUCCGAAAGGACCGCUAAUUCGGGAUGUGAACCCGCACCGUGGUGCGUGUUUAAAGAUUCAUCGCUAUGGGAUGGGGUUGCGGCGCAUCAGCUCGUUGGUGAGGUAAAGGCUCACCAAGGCAACGACGCGUAACCGGCCUGAGAGGGUGGUCGGUCACAGGGGCACUGAGACACGGGG
rnacentral:rRNA from 1 species